AUUGAACGCUGGCGGCAGGCCUAACACAUGCAAGUCGAGCGGAUGAGAGGAGCUUGCUUCUCGAUUCAGCGGCGGACGGGUGAGUAAUGCCUAGGAAUCUGCCUGGUAAUGGGGGACAACGUUUCGAAAGGAACGCUAAUACCGCAUACGUCCUACGGGAGAAAGCAGGGGACCUUCGGGCCUUGCGCUAUCAGAUGAGCCUAGGUCGGAUUAGCUAGUUGGUGAGGUAAUGGCUCACCAAGGCGACGAUCCGUAACUGGUCUGAGAGGAUGAUCAGUCACACUGGAACGGAGACACGGUCCAGACUCCUACGGGAGGCAGAAGUGGGGAAUAUUGGACAAUGGGCGAAAGCCUGAUCCAGCCAUGCCGCGUGUGUGAAGAAAGUCUUCGGAUUGUAAAGCACUUUAAGUUGGGAGGAAGGGUUGUACGUUAAUACCGUGCAAUUUUGACGUUACCGACAGAAUAAGCACCGGCUAACUCUGUGCCAGCCGCCGCCGUAAUAC
rnacentral:rRNA from 1 species